rnacentral:rRNA from 1 species
GUGGGGAAUAUUGGACAAUGGGGGGAACCCUGAUCCAGCCAUGCCGCGUGUGUGAAGAAGGCCUUUUGGUUGUAAAGCACUUUAAGCGAGGAGGAGGCUACCGAGAUUAAUACUCUUGGAUAGUGGACGUUACUCGCAGAAUAAGCACCGGCUAACUCUGUGCCAGCAGCCGCGGUAAUACAGAGGGUGCAAGCGUUAAUCGGAUUUACUGGGCGUAAAGCGCGCGUAGGUGGCCAAUUAAGUCAAAUGUGAAAUCCCCGAGCGUAAAUUGGGAAUUGCAUUCGAUACUGGUUGGCUAGAGUAGGGGAGAGGAUGGUAGAAUUCCAGGUGUAGCGGUGAAAUGCGUAGAGAUCUGGAGGAAUACCGAUGGCGAAGGCAGCCAUCUGGCCUAAUACUGACACUGAGGUGCGAAAGCAUGGGGAGCAAACAGGAUUAGAUACCCGAGUAGUCC